CAAUAGCGUAUAUUAAAGUUGUUGCGGUUAAAAAGCUCGUAGUUGGAUUUCUGCCGAGGACGACCGGUCCGCCCUCUGGGUGAGUAUCUGGCUCGGCCUGGGCAUCUUCUUGGAGAACGUAGCUGCACUUGACUGUGUGGUGCGGUAUCCAGGACUUUUACUUUGAGGAAAUUAGAGUGUUUCAAGCAGGCUUACGCCUUGAAUACAUUAGCAUGGAAUAAUAAGAUAGGACCUCGGUUCUAUUUUGUUGGUUUCUAGAGCUGAGGUAAUGAUUAAUAGGGAUAGUUGGGGGCAUUAGUAUUUAAUUGUCAGAGGUGAAAUUCUUGGAUUUAUUAAAGACGAACUUAUGCGAAAGCAUUUGCCAAGGAUGUUUUCAUUAA
rnacentral:rRNA from 1 species